ACUCCUACGGGAGGCAGCAGUAGGGAAUCUUCCACAAUGGGCGCAAGCCUGAUGGAGCAACACCGCGUGAGUGAAGAAGGGUUUCGGCUCGUAAAGCUCUGUUGUUAAAGAAGAACACGUAUGAGAGUAACUGUUUCAUACGUUGACGGUAUUUAACCAGAAAGUCACGGCUAACUACGUGCCAGCAGCCGCGGUAAUACGUAGGUGGCAAGCGUUAUCCGGAUUUAUUGGGCGUAAAGAGAGUGCAGGCGGUUUUCUAAGUCUGAUGUGAAAGCCUUCGGCUUAACCGGAGAAGUGCAUCGGAAACUGGAUAACUUGAGUGCAGAAGAGGGUAGUGGAACUCCAUGUGUAGCGGUGGAAUGCGUAGAUAUAUGGAAGAACACCAGUGGCGAAGGCGGCUACCUGGUCUGCAACUGACGCUGAGACUCGAAAGCAUGGGUAGCGAACAGGAUUAGAUACCCUGGUAGGA
rnacentral:rRNA from 1 species